CGGGGGCGCGAAGCUGUAGCCGUCGCUGUCGUACCCGUCGGCGGCGGCGCCGUUGGCGGUGGAGGCCGCCGAGCCUUGCGGCGGCGUGGCGGCGGCGGCACCGCCGCCGUUGCUGAUGCUGACGGAGGCGCCGUUCGGCGCCUGGUGCUGCGCGGGCCCCGCCCCGCCGGCCGCCAUCUUCACGCGCUGUACUUCUCCUCCGCCUCCGCCUCCUCCUCCUCAGGAGCGAGCUACCGAGCUAGUAGUAGUAAAGCCUCCCCGAAGCCACAAUCAACCUCAGGGCCAUCGAGUCCUCGCGUCCAGCGGCAGCAGGUCACCGCCGAGCAGCAGGUCCGCAAUCGCCAUCACCGCCGCAAGCGUCGAAGCCAAUCCCGCGACACGGCCUCAGAUCGAAAACGCCACGGGGAGGCGGCGCCUGGAAGGUCCGAGCUCUGAGCUCCGGAUACCGGGACCGCCCUCGAGUCGGCGCGGCGAGCGGGUGGACAAACGGAGCAAGCCCCCGGCAAUGCGAGCGGUAUAAGUAAGUCGGCUGUGAGUCCCGACAGGCGCACGGUCGGCGAGGAGAGGGAGGCUCGGACCAGGUCGCGGGCGCCUCGUCCGGCCGCGGCCGGCAGGACGAGAUCCGGAGCCGAGGAGGGGGACGACGGGACGAGGUGUGGAGAGGGAGGGAGGAGAGAGGGCAGGCGGGCUCACGAGGGGGCGGUACUGCUAUGGCGAGGCGGAGGCGGAGGCGGAAGGCUGCCGUACCAGCGGAUUAAACAAAAACAGGCGCCGUGGGCCCCCCUUCCGUUCCGCUGUUGUUUUGCCCCCUCCCCGUGUCCUCCUUGCCGCGCAAGCGCUCAUGAUUUUUGGGAGGCCGGCCGCCGGCGUGGGCUGCUGGGUCUGGGAAGGAACGGAUUAGUAGAAUUUUUCAGCGAACGGUUAAAGAGAUCUUCAACAGAAAUUUUGGCUGGACGCUGAUGAAUAAUCGCUUAUGUUUCUAAUGCCGAGCGCGUUGUUUUUUUGGUUAUG
rnacentral:misc_RNA from 1 species